rnacentral:lncRNA from 1 species
GGAGCCUGAUGUGGGAUUCAAUCCCGGGUCUCCAGGAUCGCGCCCUGGGCCAAAGGCAGGCGCUAAACCGCUGCAUCACCCAGGGAUCCCUGAAAAUUUUUCAACAUGCACUUCUUUUAUAAUUAUACAACAUUGUAAGGAUCAUUUCACUAAAUAACGGUGAUAGGUAUAUAGGUUUGAGUUUUGUUGUUCUUAAUGUACUUAAGACAAAAAGCAACUCCAUGUUGGUCAAUACUUUUUUGUUGUUGUUAUGUUUUGCUGGCUAUCAAAGUCCAAAGGUGUGGGAUCAGGGUGCCUCAGUGGUUGAGCAUCUACCUUUGGCUCAGGUUGUGAUCCCCAAGUCCUGGGAUUGAGUCCCACAUUGGGCUCCCCUCAGGGAGCCUGCUUCUUUCACUAGGUCUCUGCCUCUCUCUCGUGUCUCUCAUGAAUAAAUAAAUACAAUCUUUAAAGAAAACCCAGAAAACAAAAGUCUGAGAUCUAUAGCUUUAAUCUAACCUCUUCUUGGUUCCACGAACAAAGAAAGAAACUUCAGUUCUUCUUAUACUGUAUUCAUGAUUUGCCAUAUUUGCAUACCACCUUGUGCUGUUGUACGCAUGCUAUUUUUCUUUAAGUCAGUUUGCUUUAAGUUAAACAAAUGUCCUUUAAAUUUUUGUUUUAAAGUUUAUUAUUAGGGACACCUGGGUGGCUCAGCAGUUGAGCGUCUGCCUUUGGCUUAGGGCAUGAUCCCGAGGUCCUGGGAUCAAGUUCCAUAUUGGGCUCCCUGCAGGGAGUCUGCUUCUCUCUCUGCCUGUGUCUCUAACUCUCUCUCUGUGUGUGUGUGUGUCUCUCAUGAAUAAAUAAGUAAAUCAACCUUUAAAAGAAAUAAAUAAAGUUUAUUAUUAUUAUUUUUUAGUAAUCUCUGCCCUGAAUGUGGGCCUCAAACCCACAACCCUGAGAUCAAAAAUUGCAUACUCCACUGACUGAGCCAGCCAGGCACCCCAAACAAAUGUCCUUUAAAAAUAAAUUUCAUGGUAUGGAGAAAUAAUACCUAUACAUAUAAAUCCUUGAUUUGAUAGGGGAAUUACUUCCUAAUUUGUUUUUUUUUUUAAGUUUGUUUAUUUAUUUAUUUAUUUAUUUAUUUAUUUAGAGUGCAAGUGGGGGGAGGGGCAGAGGCAGAGGAGAGAGAAAGAGAGUCCCUGCUAAGCGCAGAGCCCGGCUUAGCUUGGGGUUCAGUGUCAUAACCCUAAGAUCACCACCUGAGCCAAAAUCAUGAAUCAGACACUUAAUUGACUGAGCCACCCAGGUGCCCUGUUCCUAAUUUAUUUUAAAGUACAAGUAACUUUUUUUUUUUUAAAGAUUUUAUUUAUUUAUUCAUGAGAGACACAGAGAGAGGCAGAGACACGGGCAGAGGGAGAAGCAGGCUUCCUGCAGGGAGCCCAAUGUGGGACUCAAUCCCAGGACUCCAGGGUCAUGUCCUGAGCUGAAGGCAGAUGCUCAACCACUGAGCCACCCAGGAAACUGUAAACUACAAGUAAUUAUUAAAAAAUAAUAAUAUACUAGUAAUUAUUAAAAUAAAAAUCAAGAAAAAUAAAAGGAUCUUGCAUGCUAUCAAUGGUGGUAGAGGCCAUAUUUUAGGAAACCACGUUUCAUCUAAUUUUGUAGAUCCAAAAACAGACCCUUAAGUUGAAAGGAUUACCUGAGAUCAAGUUGGUUGUUACCAACAGAAGCAGGAUUUGAGCCUCUAUCUUCCAAUUUCUAGUCUGGCAUUCUUUGUACUAUAUACGAGACAAGACAAUGCCUAAGUCAAUGGGAUAUCCUCGGGUUUUAAAGGGACUAAUGUGAAAUUGAUGGCCCCAGGCAUAACUUAUCUGAAACAACUAUAUUGUAGGACUGGCAAUAGUCCAUUUAAUUGUAUCUAGUACACUUUUAAACUUUUUUCUUUUUGAAGUAAUGUGUCUGCCCAAUGUUGGGCUGGAACUCACAACUCUGACUACCAACUGCACCAGUCAGGUGCCCCUCAAGUACACCUUUAAACUUACUUUAAACUUUUCUUUUUUGUUUGUUUGUUUUGAUUUUAUUUAUUUUAUUUAUUUAUUUAUUUGAGAGAGAGAGAGCACAAGCAGGGGGGAGGUGCAGAGGGGGAAGCUGACUCCCCACUGAUCAGGGAGCCCGAAGCAGGGCUCCAUCGCAGGACCCUGAGCCAAAGACAGAUGCCUAACCAGCUGAGCUACCCAGGUGCCCCUAAACAUACAUGUUUUCUUUUUCUUUUUCUUUUUUUUUUUUUUUAAAGAUUUUAUUUAUUCAUGAGAGACACAGAGAGAGAGACAGAGAGGCAAAGAGGCAGAGACACAGGCAGAGGGAGAAGCAGGCUCUAUGCAGGGAGCCUGACAUGGGACUUGAUCCCCGGUCUCCAGGAUCACGCCCUGGGCUGAAGGCGGCGCUAAACUGCUGAUCCACCGGGGCUGCCCAAUAUACAUGUUUUCUGACACAGAAUUCCACUUCUUAUCAUCUACCCUGAGAAGCAGUCAUCAUACUUGUGUGUGCAUAAGAUGACACGUACAAAGAUAUUCAUUACAGCAUUAUUUGUAAUAGCAAAAAAUUAGAAACACCCAAAUCUCCAGCAGUAAGGAAUAGCUAAAUCAACUACCCAGCAAUUGAGAAAGUGAAUUACAUCUAUGUGAUAAGAUUCAUUACUGUAUUACCAAAAGACAAAAAGCAAGCUGCAGAACAGUAAAUAUAAUCAUUUAGUUUAUGUUCAAAGAAACUAAAAACAAUGCUUUAUGUUUCUACAGACAUAUGUAAUUUUUAAUUACAUAUAAAUUAUACAUGUUCUCUAUAUAAAUUAUAUAUGUUACAUAUAAGUAUUUUAUAUAUUUAUUAAAUGCCUUUAAAAAUUCUGGCCAUAAUACAUACCAAAUUGAUAAUCAUGCUUACUUUUGGGGAAGAAUAGUCAAGGGGGUAUUUAGCUCUAUUUAUAAUUCUGAAUUUUUACAAUGAGAAAAUAUUAAUCAUAUGUAUAAACAAGGGCACUUGGGUGACUCAGUCGGUUGAGCAGCUGAUUCUUGGUUUUGGCUCAGGUCUUAACCUCAGGAUUGUGAGAUCCAGCCCUGCAUCAGGCUCCAUGCUCAGUCUAGAGUCUGCCUUGCCUCUCUCUCUACUCCUACCCUUUCUCCCCCCACUUGCUCACUCUCUUUCUCAAAUAAAAAAAUCCUAAAAAAAAGACAUUUAAGUAGCCUAUGAUCACGUUAACAAAUGAAGCCAAAAGGGACAACAAGUAGUACAAUUUCUCUAAAGAAAUCAUUCUUCACUAAUCUCUAAUUCUUUGAGGAGGAAAAUACUUCAGCAAAGUAUAAUCUGUGGCUGUAAUGUAAGUUUGUACACAACUUUUGAAAACAACAAUGGGGUUCUAGUUUACUUUUGGGGGGGUUCUAGUUUAAAUACAAAUGAGAGUAUGAAAGGAAGAAAGGAAAGGUACAGAAGAGCAUAUAUAUAAUAUGAUACUGUUGAUGAGAGGAAAAAAAUGUGUAAAUAUCCAUAAAAUAUUUCUAGGAGAUUAUACAAGAAAAUGUAGUGGUUACCACUGAGAAGAAAAACAUUUUUUCACUGUGCAUCUUUUAAAGCAGCCUGGAAAUUUUUUAGUGACCAAAGGAUUACCUAGGCGGAGGGAGGAGAGACACUUGAGAUUAGAUGUAAAACACACCAAAAAAUUAACUAGCAAUAUGUGGUAGUGAUUAUUGCUAUGGGCUGUAAAAUCGGAGAAAUCAGAGAAGAGAGACCUUGGUGGGGAGAGGGAGAAUCACUGAAGACCUCUCAUGUAUAGUCGUAUCUGAAGUAGGUCCCUAAACAUCACUAAGAUGUAUAGCAGAAAGGAGGAAGAAGUCUAUUUUGAUCAAGAAAGUACUUAGCAAGUAGUGUGUUGACCCAUCUAGCUAGGGUGGUAAGGUUGUGAUAGAAAGUUCUAGUAGAUGUUGGUACCUCUUUAAAAGGUAAGAACUGUUAGUAUAUCAAGUGAAGAGUAGAGGCCAGAAGUUCAGAGGAACUUUGAAAAAUGGAGAGUGGAGAAGAGAACCCAAAGGGAAAACAGAAGUUGCUAAAAUGGUAGGUACACCAGAUAGUGUUACUGUGGUGGGACAAGGAGACAGCUUCUGGAAGCAGGCAGGCAUGAUCAGUAUUGCCGGAUGCCUAGUGGAGGGCCAGAAGAGCGCCAACUGACUGUUCCUCAAAAUGUGAAAUACAGAGUUAUUGUAUGACCCAGCGAUUUCAAUCUUAGGUGUGUACCCAGGAGAAUUGAAACGUGUCCACGCAAAAACUUUUACGUGCAUCUUCAUAGGGGCAUUAUUCAUGAUAACCCCACAGCAGAAACAACCCAGAUGUCCAUCAACCGAUGAAUGGAGAAGCAAAAUAUGUCCAGAAUAUUAUCCCGCCAGAAAAGGGAAUGAAGUAGCAAUAAACACUGCAGCAUGUAACAUCACACUAAAUGCAAGAAACUAGAUACAAAAGGCCACAUGUCAUAUGAUUCCACUUGUAUGAUAUGUCCAGAAUGGAUCAAUUCAUAGAGGUAGAAAUCAGAGUAGUGGUUGCCCAGAGUCUGAGGGGAGUAGAGCAUAGGGAAUGAGUACUAAUGGGUAGAUUUCUUUUUGCAGUGAUGAAAAUGCUCUGGAAUUAGAUAGUGGAGGUAACUGUACAAUCUUGUAAACCUUAUAUUAAAAGCUCCUGACCUGGACACCUUGAAAUCAUAAAUUUUAUGGGAUAUAAAUUAUAUCUCAACUUUCUUUUUUAAGUGCAAACCGUGAAAAGUAUUGUUCUUGGCAGCUGAUCACCUUUUUUCUAAGACUUUAAUUUUUUAAAAAUAUUUGAUUUAUUUUUAGCAAGUGUGAGCAAUGGGGAGGGGCAGAGGGAGAGGGAGAAAGAGAAUCUCAAGCAGACUCCCCCCUGUACACAGCCCGAGGCAAGGCUUGAUCCCAUGACUCUGGGAUCAUGACCUGAGCCAAAACCAAGAGUCAGACGCUCGACCAACUAAGCCACCUGGGUGCCCUAGAUUUUCAUUUUUUUUAAAGUAAUCUCUACACCCAGCAUGGGGCUUGAACCCACCGUUCAAGAGUCCCAUUCUC